AUCAUAAUCUACAGAGGAGAUAGUGCAGCCUUGUCUUGCUUCUGGCCAUAAAUGGAAAGCAUUUUUCACAGAUGAAUCUGUGCCUUUUGUGUAUCCUUUUAGUAAUAUGAAGGAAGAAUAUGGCAUUGGCAGAGAGACCAGAUCUUCAAGAUCUCAGCACUCAGAAAUGAAAAUGUGUGUUAAUGUGGUAAUCCACUGGGAAAGGACUCUUCACAUGAUGCCAGACUGACAAAAAUGCAGGAAAAAUUACAUUGACCAAGUAUUAAUACCUGAAAUGCAUUUAUGAGUUUUAAGACCUGGCAUUGAGAUAUGUCAACUCUUGGUAGUACCUCAUUUGAUUUAGAAGGAGAUGAUGAGCAUCAAAAUCCUUCCUAUGGAGUUGCUUCAAUUAUGGCAAGCUAACCACAGGGCAAAGAAAAUGCUCUUGCUUCAUCUACAGAGAGAAUGCUGUCCAGAAAAUGCUCUUACUUCAUCUACAGAGAGAAUGCUGUCCAGAAAAUGCUCUUACUUCAUCUACAGAGAGAAUGCUGUCCAGAAAAUGCUCUUACUUCAUCUACAGAGAGAAUGCUGUCCAGAAAAUGUUCUUACUUCAUCUACAGAGAGAAUGCUGUCCAGAAAAUGCUUUUACUUCAUCUACAGAGAGAAUGCUGUCCAGAAAAUGCUCUUACUUCAUCUACAGAGAGAAUGCUGUCCAGAAAAUGCUCUUACUUCAUCUACAGAGAGAAUGCUGUCCAGAAAAUGCUCUUGCUUCAUCUACAGAGAGAAUGCUAUCCAGAAAAUGCUCUUACUUCAUCUACAGAGAGAAUGCUGUCCAGAAAAUGCUCUUACUUCAUCUACAGAGAGAAUGCUGUCCAGAAAAUGCUCUUACUUCAUCUACAGAGAGAAUGCUGUCCAGAAAAUGCUCUUACUUCAUCUACAGAGAGAAUGCUGUCCAGAAAAUGCUCUUACUUCAUCUACAGAGAGAAUGCUGUCCAGAACGGACAGAAGAGAAGUCAGCUGCCAAGUUCUGCCUAGAUGAGUAAACAAGUCCUUCAUAAUUCCUGCUUCACAAAACGUCUGUCAGAUAUUCUGGACCAGAAGGAUGAAGAUAGAUGCUUCAGAGUUCUAGAGAAUAUUGGGGACUGUUCAGCCUUGGUGAGCUUCCAUUUAGCAGAAAUUGUUCCUAGCCCACAUGUCUGGAUCAGCCCCAAGAAGCUUCUAGAAGGUGGAUAACCGGAGCCACUUUAAAAAGGUGGCACAUGUGACAAGUGGGCACAAACAAACCUCCAAACAAAAUGGUCAUACUGGAAGCCUCUUCUUUCAAGAAGGAAAACACAGCAAAUGCAGAGUCACGGGCCUUGAACAGGCAGAAUGAUUACUGACUUCUGAGAACAAAAGAAUAUGAGAAAAGACUUUGGAGGUAAAACCCACAGAGAAGAGGCAUUGGGAUGCAUAAAUGACAUCACUUAUGCCAUCUGCUUCACUUUUAAAGUAGGAAACAACACAUUAUUCUGAAAUACUGCAUACAGUCAUACAGUGAGGACAGAUGACCGUCCCAGGCACCAAAAUGGCACAGUGAGUUCUGCCACCGUGAGCAAAACUGAUCUCACCAGGUCUGGAAGGCUCAUCAUGGUUCCAUGGAUCAAAGGCACCCUGGAUGCUCUGGACCUGUGCAAUUGAUCCUGACUUCAGGCUGAUUAUAGUGAGGUACUCCAGGGUUUGAACAUACUGAAAGACCAGCACACUCCUUAAUUAUAUUAUUCUACAUAAUCAUAUUAUGUAGCAAUUUUCAUCCAGUUAAAAUAUUCUUUACUUGAGGAAGUCUUCUUAAGGAUUAGGAGGCCUUAAGUGGAAACAUUGCUUCCAGAAAUGUUGAAGAGACUUCGGAAGCAAACUCGGAAGUCUCAAGAAGCUCCUGAAUCUGACAAGGCUCCGUUCCCCCUGCUUAGAGCAACCUGUGGAUCCUGAGAGAGGAAGCGAGGCCGGGAGGCUGGAGCGAAAGAGACUGAACAAACAGCAAUUGAGCAAGGCACAAACAGACUCUUGAGGCCGGUUCAGUGAGACAGCUCCUUCAAUGGGAGGAACAAAGGCUUUGAGGGCCAUAUUCACAUCUGGGAAGCACUCUGCUAGCAGCAUGAAAGCAGUUUUUGAAUAGAGAGUUAUUAAAAGGUUGGUGACCCAGGACUGGCAAUCCUGGGGUUGUCUUGAGUGACCAUUGCACUCGAUCAAGGGUUAUGAAACACAUAUCACGUGGGAUCUCUGAUGGUGAAAAUAACAUCAUCUCUCUAGCUGAUUGUGCGAAUCACACCAUCCCUCUAACCAACUGUGCAAACCCUGUCUCUUCCCUAUUGACCGAGGAAAUCACAUCAUCUCUCUAAAAUUAGUCUUCCUUUCUGAAAAGCAAGCCUAAGCGGAGGUCCUGUUCUGAUUUUCUGACCCGGUGGGUGACUGUGUUAGGGCAGCUUGCCUGUGUUUCUUUCUUUAUCAUUCUGUCUGCACUGUCUUUUAUUACUGUGUACUGUCAGCAGCAACAAUUUCCUCAAAGUUUAAAAUAGCAAAAGUGUACAAAGGUGGAAAAAAAAAUACAAAGCUUUAUCUUGCCCUCUAAGAAGCCCCAUGGUGUGACUUUCCCAGGUACUUCAGAUCUCCUGGAGACCUGUAACGUGUCCUCGUAUCUUUACCUUCUUUGGAUGGUAGGAACUCACAUCUACAAGGCUGUAUUUCAAGAGGAGAUGACAGACAUUUGUGAGAUUUUAGUGUUUCUAGCAUUGCCCUUGUCAUUUAAUGACUCCUCCCCAAGUGUGGCACUCAGCAUGGUGGUGCUGACUUCAGCUCCAGUCAUGUUUGAUCUCUUGCCUUCAUGCUGAAUGACUAUUCCAUGUCUCCGGGGCACUGUGUUUUUCUGUUGCUAUCCUAGUUCCUUAGUGCCACCCUGGCUUUUCUCUAAAGUGCUGCCACCACCCCUGCAGUGCUCACCAAACACUGUCAACAACCUCUCUUGAGUUUACACAGCCACCCCUCUUAUCCCUGACUGCCUGCAGCAAAAAGAAAGAAAUUGCGCCUCCAUCUUCCUCCCUCCCAGCUGUCAGCACUGUGCUAAAAACAAAACCCUUCAGCUUCCUAAACAAACAAGCUUGCAGUAUUCAGAAUGUGUCCCGGUAUGUGGUCAUAUAUUUCUGUAAGGUUCUUUAAGGACACAGGUCUUUCAAAACCAUUUCAAUGUAUGCUACAUGAGAGAUGAUUAUGUUUAACCCCAAGGUAGGAAGAGUGGUCCUGCUGCUUGGCUGGCUGUAUCUUCUGAGGUGCAUAAUUGGCUGCUCUGGUUCACAGGAAUAAAUUUCAUCUUAAAAUCUGU
rnacentral:lncRNA from 1 species